GACGCUUCCGCCGCGACGGCGGUCAUCUGGUUGAACCUGGUCCAGUUCAUAGUCAUAGUUACUCCCGCCGUUUACCCGCGCUUGCUUGAAUUUCUUCACGUUGACAUUCAGAGCACUGGGCAGAAAUCACAUUGCGUCAACACCCGCGAGGGCCAUCGCAAUGCUUUGUUUUAAUUAGACAGUCGGAUUCCCCUUUUCCGUGCCAGUUCUGAGCUGACCGUUGAACGGUGGUCGUACAGAACCGCGCCGAUCGCGCACGAGACGAAACCGACGCGGCCUUACGGCUAGGGAGAGCCGCGGAAGGCCGGAACGCGGGUCCGGAUUCAGCAUCGACCAGGCCCG
rnacentral:misc_RNA from 1 species